CCCUUAGAUGUCCUGGGCUGCACGCGCGUUACACUGAUGCAUUCAACGAGCUUAUAACCUUGGCCGAGAGGCCUGGGCAAUCUUGUUAACGUGCAUCGUGAUAGGGAUAGAUUAUUGAAAUUAUUAAUCUUGAACGAGGAAUUCCUAGUAAACGCAGAUCAUCAAUCUGCAUUGAUUACGUCCCUGCCCUUUGUACACACCGCCCGUCGCACCUACCGAUUGGAUGGUCCGGUGAAGCCUCGGGAUUGUGGUUCUUGCCGCUUUAUUGUGGCGUGACCGCGAGAACUUGUCUAAACCUUAUCAUCUAGAGGAAGGUGAAGUCGUAACA
rnacentral:rRNA from 1 species